AAGGCCCUACAGUGUCACAAUGGAUCUCUGGUUCCAUGAGGUCUGGCAGUGCAGCAACGCUCUCCUUGGUUCCCAGUCUCUUUUAUGCAUCCCACUGUUAGACAAUAGAAGGACGCCUGGCAGAUGAAGGGGAGUGGGGGUGGAUAUCUUCUCAAGGAGGAAAUAAUAAAAAUUCCUCCUGUCUCCCUCUUCCAAGGCAGGUGCCACUUCAGAACAGGAUUUCUCAUUCCCAAGCCUUGGCUGGAUGGAGGAGGAGUCUGUGAGGAAGAGAAAGAUGGCCCGGGACACACAGGCAGACAAGGAGCUGAGGAUGGAGAUCAGGGAGGACAAAUCCUCACAACAGAAACUCAAGGAAGAGGCAGAUUUGAGCAGCUGCGCAGGGCAGAAAUCCAAGGCGGAGGAAAAGUC